CCCAGAUACUGCAAGGAAGAUAAGAGUCCCAGUGAGUUAAAAAAAUAUUCUUUCUGAGUCAGGAAAAAGGUAAAAGAAAAAAUGAGCUGCGUAAGGUUUUUCUGUGGCAUUUAAAGUUUGAAAAAAAAGAGUAAAAUCUGAGUUUGUCUGAGUAAUCUAUCUUUGGGUAUUUUCAGGAGAGAGAGCAGGAGAAUAUGAAUGAGUGUGCUUCUCAGUCAUGGCUGAGCUUUCUGACAGAUGAAGAGAAUUUUUGGUGACUCCAUCUGGCUGGAAGGUCUAUUCGUGUGAUCUGUUUUCCAACAGCUGGAAAAUAACACUAGGAGGGUCUUUUGAUUAUCAAAGCAUGGGAAUUACUACAGUGCAGUAUCACCGGAAACACCCAUCUCUUUCUGAGUGACAGGUGACGCUUCUGGGAUGUGUGAGAUAGCUGAAUUCCCCCUGCCACACUGAACAUGUGUUCUUUGCUUCCUUGGAGGGAGAAUGAGAAAGGACCAUGCCGGGAGUCAGGGUUUAGUGGGGUUUCCCCUGGUGCCCUGGGGAAAUGUGUGAUGGGGAAGGCACUCUCUUCCCUUUUCUGCACUGGGGCACAGUCGGGUGUCGGCAUAGCUCAGCUGAUGCAGUGCAGGCUGAACAACACGACUUAGAUUGUAAACGGUUGGGGUUUGAAAUGUCAAGCCUCAAGAUCUUGUUAGAAGGAAGUUAGGACGUCGGUGAGGUUACCCUGCAAACUUCAACUGAAAUGAAAAUAGCUCAAAAGCAGUAAAUAUUUUCUUUGUUUCAUGGUAAUGUUUGUAAAACUUUUCCUACCUUAAGUAACUUUUGUAAACUUACUUUUCUACUGGUACUUCUAACAUGGGUGUGUGUAACGAGGCGUGUGAUUAACACAGUAAGGGGAAUUCCUGUGUGGGAUCUGAUUUUUUUUUGUCUUUUUUUUUUUUUUCCCCCCUCUUCGUAUCGGCCACCUGAGACACUGCCUGGGUUUUUUGGCGUAACAUUUGUUUGAUUUCACAGUUAAUAGCGUUAUUAUUCUAUCAAAUAAUUUGAUAAGUUGUUGGAGCCAUACUGCAGAAGCAGCCGCAGCAACGAUGCCUUCUAAUUGCAUACUUUACCUCUGCUGUAUUAUCACUGCCCAUUUCAUUAUUUACAAGUUGAUUACAGCUGCAUUUCUCAGAGGCUAUGAAAUAUUCAGCAGCAAAAAGUAGCCUGUGGAGAAUCACAGUCCUUGCAGUGAAGUACCUGCCCUUGCAAGCAAAGCGGAACCAACAACUUCUCGUGUUGAAAACGAACGUGGACAUUCCUUCUUGGCUUUAGCUUUUCCGGCAUCACUGAUUGGGGAAUGCACGCUUCUUAAAAAUAGUCAUUUUACUCUUGCUUGUGAUUGGAUGAGAUAAGAAGAAGAACAAAUGCACAGCUGUUGAAUUUCCGCCAUAUUUACCUGGCUGUUGGAAAGAAGGAAAGAAAUCUUAAUCGCCUGCGCAUUGCGGGGAGGCAGUUAAUAUUACCGGUAGAGUGAGAAAAAAAGCUAUAUAUUGAAGUCAAAAAUUAACGCUACGGGCCAUUUUCUCACACUUUUGUUUCUCUGUAGUACUAGCCAGCAAUGAUUGACUAAAAUGUGCAGUAUUUCACGAAGCAGGAAACAGAUAACAUUUUCAUAAACAGGAUACUUCAUCAUUAAAGUAAAGAAACAAUUGCUUUGACCUUGACACUGAAUGUGUGAGGCCAGCAUUGUAAGAACUGAGACGGCAACUACGCAACAGUUCUGUAGUAGCUUGCACUGCAUUAUUUGUAGUAGAAAGCACCAGUAAUGGGGAGGCCCAAGGUAGCAAAACAACUGGUUAAUACUUACAAACAAACAACCUGUAUUUGUGCAAAAAGUUUGAAUUGUAAAGUGCACUAACACUGGCUGAAAUUUGGGCUUACAUCAAAAGACAGUUAAUGAAUCAGUAUACCCUUUUGUGGCCUGAACAAGCAGAUGGGAGCCUGACAGUAUCCCUGUUUUGUUUAGGCUGCUUUAGAAACUUGAUUCUCUUCUGAAAAUUGGUGCUGUAGAAGAAAUGGCACAUUCCUUCAGAACUAAUGUGUUUUACCCCUGUUUCUUCUUACUUUGGCAAUAACUAUCUUUUCUACUUCUACCAAUUAGCAGUGUACAGCCUGACUUAUUUCAAAAGCUGGGUUGCGUUUUUAACUAAAAUAGUUUGGAAAGUGAUUUAAAUAAAUCUAUGUAAUCACCUGCUGUAGGCA
rnacentral:lncRNA from 1 species